UUAUACAUAAAACAUGUUUUGUUCUUUAUACUUGUAAAUUUCAUGUCUAUGAUCUCAAGGAUCAUGUCAAAUGUGCCAAAUGACCUACCAGAUUUUACAUGCUAUUAUUGCAAUUUCUUUCAUGAGCUAUAUCCUAAAGCAUAAGGGCCCAAAACUCUUUAUCUCAACUCUUCUUCUUCAACCUCAGUUCAGAUCUACCUCUUGGCAAUCCCAAGUCACGAGCAAAAAGCCACAUUCAAAC
rnacentral:lncRNA from 1 species